rnacentral:lncRNA from 10 species
GUAACGUGCAAACAGAUUUCAUCUAUUCCAAUGCUUGUACAUAGACAUUAUUAGCAUUUCAUCAGGAUAUUUCCGUUAUUUAAGAUUGUCAUGGAAUUGCAGCAUCACCAGCCUUGGGCUCCAAUUCCAGCAACAUACCACACAAUUACAUAAGAAUAUUAGAGAGCACUGGUCAGCAAGUCAGGUUAUUUAUCCAACACCUACUACAUAAUGGGGCACAGUUCUAAAUGUUAGGGAAAAAGGAAAAAUAUAUACAUAUUCUAAUGGGAAAAGACAUGUAAAUAAUUUACAAAGUCAAAAAAUAAUUACAAGCUCAUCCAAGCAAAAUCUAUUUUAUCAUUCUUAGAAUACUGUCAUGGGGGCAACUGGGUGGUAAGGUGCUCAAUGUCACCCUACCUGAAAAGAAAGCAUCAGUCAUAAAUGGGCUGCUUUCAACCCCUACGAAAGCAGAACAGCAGAAGGCAGCCUUAAAAUGAUAAUGGCCAUGGCUUGGCUGGGCACGGUGGCUCACGCCUGUAAUCCCAGUACUUUGGGAGGCUGAGGCGGGCAAAUCA